AAGAUUGUACUUUCAGGGAUCAUUUCUAUAAUUUGUUACUAGAGAAGUUUCUCUGAUCGUGUAGAGCACCCCAAACCAUGAGGAGGAGGUGUAGUGUUCUCUCCUUAGUGUGAAGCCAGCUUUUGGUGUUGCUUUUACAACUGCCAAUAGCCAUUGAUGAUCAUUCUUCUCUUCCUUUGGAAGAGUAAGAGGGAAAGAAUGCAGUCUGAGUGGU